AUACGGAGGAUGCGAGCGUUAUCCGGAUUUAUUGGGUUUAAAGGGUGCGCAGGCGGCCAUUUAAGUCAGCGGUUAAAUCGUGGGGCUCAACCCCAUUCUGCCGUUGAUACUGGGUGGCUUGAUUGCGGUCGAGGUUGGCGGAAUUCGUUGUGUAGCGGUGAAAUGCAUAGAUAUGACGAAGAACACCGAUUGCGUAGGCAGCUGACCAGAUCGCAAAUGACGCUCAUGCACGAAAGUGCGGGGAUCGAACAGGAUUAGAUACCCUGGUAGUCCGCACAGUAAACGAUGAAUACUUGUUUUCGGCGAUAUAAUGUCGGAGGCAAAGCGAAAGCGAUAAGUAUUCCACCUGGGGAGUACGCCGGCAACGGUGAAACUCAAAUGAAUUGACGGGG
rnacentral:rRNA from 1 species